UACGGAGGGUGCGAGCGUUGUCCGGAAUCAUUGGGCGUAAAGGGCGCGUAGGUGGCGGGACAAGCGUGCGGUGAAAGCCUGGGGCUCAACCCCGGGUCGGCCGUGCGAACUGUUUUGCUUGAGCACUGUAGAGGCAGGCGGAAUUCCGGGUGUAGCGGUGGAAUGCGUAGAGAUCAGGAAGAACACCCGUGGCGAAGGCGGCCCACUGGGCCGGUGCUGACGCUGAGGCGCGAAGGCGUGGGGAGCGAACGGG
rnacentral:rRNA from 1 species